rnacentral:lncRNA from 1 species
UUCCCCCUUAGAUUCCAUACCCAGGUCAUUAGAGAUUGCCUAUGAUCCCAUCUUUUCUUUUAUUCUUCUUUGUGGAUGACCAUCAUUAAGUUUGUUAGAAAUCAUGGCCAAACGCCAAUAGGAAUUAGUUAAAAAUCCCUUCACCCUUUAGUUAAUUCUCCUUGUCAUCCUUCGUAAUGCAUGGAUCAUGAUUUCUGGCUGGCAAAUCAUCAAGUUUUGUCAAAAGAGGGCUUGUUUGGUUCCUCCAUUUUUCCCUUGACUUUUGUUUAUCU